CAAUAGCGUAUAUUAAAGUUGUUGCAGUUAAAAAGCUCGUAGUUGGAUUUGUGGCGGUCCCUUUGGGUCGACGUUUCGUUUGUACCUGUUUGGGGCUGUCAUCUUUGGGUGGAUGGCAUGUGGCAUUAGGUUGUCGUGUGUUGGAUGCCCAUCGUUUACUGUGAAAAAAUUAGAGUGUUCAAAGCAGGCUUAGGCCGUUGAAUAUAUUAGCAUGGAAUAAUGAGAUAGGACCCUGGUACUAUUUUGUUGGUUUGUGCACCUGGGUAAUGAUUAAUAGGGACAGUUGUGGGUAUUCGUAUUCCAUUGUCAGAGGUGAAAUUCUUGGAUUUUUGGAAGACGAACUACUGCGAAAGCAUUUACCAAGGAUGUUUUCAUUAA
rnacentral:rRNA from 1 species